ACGCUCGACACCUACGGGAGCAGCAGUGGGGAAUAUUGCACAAUGGGGGAAACCCUGAUGCAGCGACGCCGCGUGAGCGAAGAAGUAUUUCGGUAUGUAAAGCUCUAUCAGCAGGGAAGAAGAAAGACGGUACCUGACUAAGAAGCCCCGGCUAACUACGUGCCAGCAGCCGCGGUAAUCUGAGGCGGCUGGCAAGGC
rnacentral:rRNA from 1 species